AGAGUUUGAUCCUGGCUCAGAAUGAACGCUGGCGGCGUGCCUAACACAUGCAAGUCGCACGGGAACGUCUCAGCUUGCUGGGACUAGUACAGUGGCGCACGGGUGAGUAACGCGUGGGUAAUCUACCUCCGAAUUGGGGAUAACACUGCGAAAGCGGUGCUAAUACCGAAUAACAUCCGGUGGACCUCGGUCCGCCGGAUCAAAGGUGGCCUCUACAUGUAAGCUACCGUUUGGAGAUGAGCCCGCGUACCAUUAGCUUGUUGGUAGGGUAACGGCCUACCAAGGCGACGAUGGUUAGCUGGUCUGAGAGGAUGAUCAGCCACACUGGAACUGACACACGGUCCAGACUCCUACGGGAGGCAGCAGUGAGGAAUUUUGCGCAAUGGGGGCAACCCUGACGCAGCAACGCCGCGUGAGUGAUGAAGGCCUUCGGGUCGUAAAGCUCUGUCAAGUGGGAAGAAAUUGCCGGUUGCGAAUACCAGCCGGCAUUGACGGUACCACUGAAGGAAGCACCGGCUAACUCCGUGCCAGCCGCCGCGGUAAUAC
rnacentral:rRNA from 1 species